AAUGGGUCAGCGACUUAUAUUCUGUAGCAAGGUUAACCGAAUAGGGGAGCCGAAGGGAAACCGAGUCUUAACUGGGCGUUAAGUUGCAGGGUAUAGACCCGAAACCCGGUGAUCUAGCCAUGGGCAGGUUGAAGGUUGGGUAACACUAACUGGAGGACCGAACCGACUAAUGUUGAAAAAUUAGCGGAUGACUUGUGGCUGGGGGUGAAAGGCCAAUCAAACCGGGAGAUAGCUGGUUCUCCCCGAAAGCUAUUUAGGUAGCGCCUCGUGAAUUCAUCUCCGGGGGUAGAGCACUGUUUCGGCAAGGGGGUCAUCCCGACUUACCAACCCGAUGCAAACUGCGAAUACCGGAGAAUGUUAUCACGGGAGACACACGGCGGGUGCUAACGUCCGUCGUGAAGAGGGAAACAACCCAGACCGCCAGCUAAGGUCCCAAAGUCAUGGUUAAGUGGGAAACGAUGUGGGAAGGCCCAGACAGCCAGGAUGUUGGCUUAGAAGCAGCCAUCAUUUAAAGAAAGCGUAAUAGCUCACUGGUCGAGUCGGCCUGCGCGGAAGAUGUAACGGGGCUAAACCAUGCACCGAAGCUGCGGCAGCGACACUAUGUGUUGUUGGGUAGGGGAGCGUUCUGUAAGCCUGUGAAGGUGUACUGUGAGGUAUGCUGGAGGUAUCAGAAGUGCGAAUGCUGACAUAAGUAACGAUAAAGCGGGUGAAAAGCCCGCUCGCCGGAAGACCAAGGGUUCCUGUCCAACGUUAAUCGGGGCAGGGUGAGUCGACCCCUAAGGCGAGGCCGAAAGGCGUAGUCGAUGGGAAACAGGUUAAUAUUCCUGUACUUGGUGUUACUGCGAAGGGGGGACGGAGAAGGCUAUGUUGGCCGGGCGACGGUUGUCCCGGUUUAAGCGUGUAGGCUGAUUUUCCAGGCAAAUCCGGAAAAUCAAGGCUGAGGCGUGAUGACGAGGCACUACGGUGCUGAAGCAACAAAUGCCCUGCUUCCAGGAAAAGCCUCUAAGCAUCAGGUAACAUCAAAUCGUACCCCAAACCGACACAGGUGGUCAGGUAGAGAAUACCAAGGCGCUUGAGAGAACUCGGGUGAAGGAACUAGGCAAAAUGGUGCCGUAACUUCGGGAGAAGGCACGCUGAUAUGUAGGUGAAGCGACUUGCUCGUGGAGCUGAAAUCAGUCGAAGAUACCAGCUGGCUGCAACUGUUUAUUAAAAACACAGCACUGUGCAAACACGAAAGUGGACGUAUACGGUGUGACGCCUGCCCGGUGCCGGAAGGUUAAUUGAU
rnacentral:rRNA from 1 species